GCGUUGGUAGUGCAACGAUUUAGCACGCGCUCUCAGGAAGAGCGAAAUCUGGGUUUGAAUCCCAGCUGACGCA